rnacentral:rRNA from 1 species
UGAGUUUGAUCAUGGCUCAGAUUGAACGCUGGCGGCAGGCCUAACACAUGCAAGUCGAGCGGUAACAGGACUAGCUUGCUAGUUGCUGACGAGCGGCGGACGGGUGCGUAACACGUAGGAAUCUGCCCGGUAGUGGGGGAUAGCCCGGAGAAAUCCGGAUUAAUACCGCAUACGCCUUACGAGGGAAAGGAGGGGCCUCUUCGGAGCCUUUCGCUAUCGGAUGAGCCUGCGUCGGAUUAGCUAGUUGGUGGGGUAAAGGCCUACCAAGGCGACGAUCCGUAGCUGGUCUGAGAGGAUGAUCAGCCACACUGGGACUGAGACACGGCCCAGACUCCUACGGGAGGCAGCAGUGGGGAAUAUUGCACAAUGGGGGAAACCCUGAUGCAGCCAUGCCGCGUGUGUGAAGAAGGCUCUAGGGUUGUAAAGCACUUUCAGCGAGGAGGAAAGGUUGCUGGUUAAUACCCAGCGGCUGUGACGUUACUCGCAGAAGAAGCACCGGCUAACUCCGUGCCAGCAGCCGCGGUAAUACGGAGGGUGCGAGCGUUAAUCGGAAUUA